AACGAACGCUGGCGGCAGGCCUAAUACAUGCAAGUCGGACGGGAUUGAGGAGCUUGCUCUUCAUGAGAGUGGCGCACGGGUGCGUAACACGUAUGUAACCUGCCUUGUUCAGGGGGAUAGCCCCUCGAAAGAGAGAUUAAGACCGCAUAACAUUAUAGAAUGGCAUCAUUUUAUAAUCAAAUAUUUAUAGGAACAAGAUGGGCAUGCGCAACAUUAGCUCGUUGGUAAGGUAACGGCUUACCAAGGCUACGAUGUUUAGGGGAUCUGAGAGGAGGACCCCCCACACGGGUACUGAGACACGGUCCAGACUCUUACGGGAGGCAGCAGUAAGGAAUAUUGGUCAAUGGCCUGAAGUCUGACCCAGCCAUGCCGCGUGCAGGAAGGCGGCCCUAUGGGUUUUAAACUGCUUUUGCAGCGGAAUAAACCUCGAUACGUGUAUCGAGCUGAAUGUACUCCGAGAAUAAGGAUCGGCUAACUCCGUGCCAGCCGCCGCCGUAAUAC
rnacentral:rRNA from 1 species